rnacentral:rRNA from 1 species
UACCAGCAUUUCGCCAAACCACUAUGAGUGAAAACUUAAAAUUUAAAAGACUUGACGGUACUUCAUAACAUCCUAGAGGAGCCUGUCUAAUAACCGAUAACCCACGAUUAACCCAACCCGCUCUGGCCCAACAGUCUAUAUACCGCCGUCGCCAGCUUACCUUAUGAAAGAAACAAAGUAAGCCCAAGAACACCCCAUUAGCACGACAGGUCGAGGUGUAACUAAUGAGGGGGACCAAGAUGGGCUACAUUUUCUAACCUAGAAAAAACGAACAGACUAUGAAACUAGAAACUGAAGGUGGAUUUAGCAGUUAGAUAGGAAUAUACUACCUAACUGAACACAAC